UACGAGGGGGGGCGAGCGUUGUUCGGAAUUAUUGGGCGUAAAGGGUGCGUAGGCGGUUUGGUAAGUCUUGUGUGAAAUCUACAGGCUCAACUUGUAGUCUGCACGAGAAACUGCCGGGCUUGAGUAUGGGAGAGGUGAGUGGAAUUCCCCGGUGUAGCGGUGAAAUGCGUAGAUAUCGGGAGGAACACCUGUGGCGAAAGCGGCUCACUGGACCAUAACUGACGCUGAUGCACGAAAGCUGGGGGGAGCAAACAGG
rnacentral:rRNA from 1 species